UCCCAUUGCACAAGAUGAAUGGCAGUAGCACAAGAGGACAAAUGGACACGUGAUACCUCUUGAGUCAUCCAUCCUGAACACUCCCAAGAAAAUAAGGAAGAUAUUCUGAUUUAAACCACAUCGUUAAACUAGAAGUUCAAUUAAUGAAUUGUAAAGACAGGUGGGCUUUUAUGACAUUGUAUUGCAAUGUGUUGAUGCUAGUUUUGAUAACAAAGACAUUUUUAAGAGCACCAUAAUGACCAGUAUUUUGAUUUUACUUAGAAAAAAGAGGGCAUCAAAACAAUUUUUUUGAAUGAGUUUUCCAAAAAGCUUCAGAUAAUAUCAAAGUUGUAUAUGGCAUAUCCCCAAAGAAGUUUUUCUGAUGUCCUUAAUCAUGAUUCAAAUGCUCAUUCAUCUUGUGAUUUUUAAAAUGUAUUAUAUAAAAGGAAGAUAAUAUAAAUAAUAUGUGGAAGAACUUCCAUAAUAUUGAAGUAAAUUGAAGCCAAUUAAUAAGCAUGGGUCCUUGUUUGCCUUGUUUUAUCAACCUAUGUAGAUUUCAAAAGUUUUGUCAAUUGAAAAAUCCCAAGUUCUAUAAAUUUGGAAAGGAGACUUUAUUUAUUAUAAAAAGGGUUACAGCUUCUAGGGUGGCCAUCAUCCUGACAGAUUUGGAAGUGUAGCCUCUGGCAGGGACUUGAAGGGGGCACUUUGAGGGAGGGGAGUGUGGGGCUGGGAUUUAUGCUAAACAGGUUGGCCCAGUACACAUAUUCAACAGGUUAUAGGAGGAGCUACAGAUAUUCCUGAAGUGGGGCCUGAUACAUAAACAAACAUGCAUGUUUCAUGCAUCCCAUGUUCACUUUGGUGUGGAGCCGUAAUAUUUAAACGCGUUACAGUUAGGCCUUAUAUGUCAAAAGGUGAAGCAGGGAGAUGAAGACACUCAAGUGUGCAGUCUCUUUAAAUGGGCUGGGACCAGUCCAUGGUCUCUGGUCUUUUAUCAGGAGAGUUACUGAAAUCAGUCUUGUCCAAUCAAAGUUAUAGUUAUGGCUUGUGGAACAGGGGACCAGUGAGUCAGCAUCUGGUGGUAGAGGAGCUGCAAUUAUUUCAAUAUUGCUUCUCUUAAGGCCUUUGCUUAUUUAGCUUCUGUAGAAGAAGAAAAACCUGUGGCAGUUAGAACACAGUUUAUUCUUUAAGUGUAGGGGUAUGUGGCUUAAUCCUUGACUGGGUGGCCUUAGGUCCUGUUUGUAAUUUGGUAUCUUACUGCUACAGAGUCCAUUUUAUCAGUCUUAUGAACUCUAUUUUAACACUAAUGCUGAUCAGUUGUGUCUAAACCACACAAAGAGGAGAUAUACCAAUGUGUGUCCAACCUCCUGUCCUGUCGUGGCCAGGAACUCCAUUUUUAAGGUUUCUCUGGGUCCUCUUGGCCAAGAGGGGCGUCCAUUCAGUUGGUUGGGGGCUUAGGAUUUUAUUUUUAGUUCUCAGUUUUGUACUGUGAAUGCUAGUUGAUUAAGUGAGAAGUUUGUGGCAAUUUUUAAAGAAAGGAUAGAUAUUAGAUUGCAUUAAAUAUUACCUCCUUGAUUAAACUAUUGUUAUUAGGGAGAAAGUAAGAUUGGGCCUGAGUAAUUUUGAAUGUAAGAAUGUAACUCUGUAUAAACAUUAGCAGUUUCUCUAAUUGAUGCUGCUUUAUUAAAAUAUCACUUUUUGUACUGGUGAAAGAGAAAAACAUUAAAGGAAUUUUUAUCUUAAAAUGUUCUCAUUCUUAUAAUUUUGGGGUGCAGGUUUUUGGGAGUUUCUCUGUUUCUCACUCUUCAAAGGAUAAAAGUCCUUUAGCUGAAAAUAAAACAUAUUGCAUUAUAUUUUAUUAAAAUAAUUAUUGUGGCGAAAAUAAAGGGUAUUACAUAACACUUUAUUAAAAUAAUUCUCUGCAAUUGAGAUUUAUAUUUUUUUCACUUCAGAAUACUUCUGCUUACUGUAAGCAUAAGUCCAAAACAAAUACACAAAGAAAGCAGCAGCCACCAUCUCCAAAUCUUAAUGUUGUGGUUUGAAAAUAUGUAUAUAAAUUCUUUGAUACACCUAUUUUCAAAGGGUGGAGCCUAAUGCCCUCCUCUUGAUGGAGGCUAGACUUAGUGACUUACUUCUAACAGAAUAUGGUGAAUGUGAUAGUGUGUGGAUUUUGAGAAUACCUAAAAAAAUCAUUGUGUUUUUUCUCUUGAUCCCUCUUUUGGAUCACUCACUCUGAGGGGAGGCCAGCUGCCAUGCUGUGAAAACACUCAAGCAGUCUCACAGAGUGUUCAAAUGGCAAGGUACUGAGGUGCCCUGGCAACGGCAAGGAACUGAGGCCUUCAUCCAAAGCCAUUAAGUGAGCCAUACUGGAAGCAGGUGCUCCGGUCCCUGGUGGUCUUGAGAUGACAGCAGCUUCAGUGUCUUGACUGCAACCUCAAGAAAGACCUUGAGCCAAAGCCAUCCAGAACAACAGAUGACACGAGAUGUCCCUGCUGGGGAGAAAAACUUGAUGAUCCCAUUGGCAAACCAGCUCCUGAGAUUUGUAUCAAGGCCUCUGCAUCUCACAGCUACCUUGUGUCUCCUCUAUUGAAAAGCUGCUGGGACUUUCAGAGACAUUCUACUAAUGGCAAGUUCUGAGAAGGAAAACAAAAAGAUGCCUUAGUUCCAUGGAAGGCUGCUCUGAGGGAUAUUCUGCUAAGUGGCAUCCAGACAGAACACGGAGAAGCUCCUCGAUUGCGUCUCUCCCCUGCCUUAUUGUUUCCUGCUGCCCUUGACACUCCACUGUUUGGGCUAUUGCAAGGUUAGAAGGAUGCUCACGACCAACGAGACAGAGUCCUUUGCAUAUGGCCUUGAGGAUGUGUGCUUCUGAAAUCUAACAAGUAAGUAAUAAACAGGCAGUUCUCAGAGCAAGAGGCUAAGACUGCUGCUUCACUCGGAGGAAACAAAGCUUUUCAGGGGUGGGUUACAGGUUUCCACGUCGUGAGGCAAGCAUCACCUUUUAUCAAGAAAAUAUCCUGGUUAUUUCCUUCUAUGUUCAAUAGAGUAUAUUGAUUUAAGGUUUUAUAGGACUGCAUAAUUAUGUUUUAUCACAAAGAAAAAAUUGAAGUCAUAAUAAAAUAGUUAAAAUACA
rnacentral:lncRNA from 1 species